rnacentral:rRNA from 1 species
GUCAUACCUCUUUUCAAUAGAAAAAUAAUGGCACAGGUAUAGGCGAAAGCAUCCCCUUAUGUGAUAACUGACGUUGAGGGACGAAGGCUUUGUGUAGCGAACAGGAUUAGAUACCCCAGUAGUCCAAGCAGAAAAUGAUGAAUGUCAUAGAUUAGAUAUAUAAGUUUAUUCUAUAAAUGAAAGUGUAAGCAUUCCACCUCAAGAGUAAUUUGGCAACAUUGGAACUGAAAUCAUUAGACCGUUUCUGAAACCGUAGUGAAGUAUGUUGUUUAAUUUGAUGAUCCGCAAAAAACCUUACCACAAUUUGAAUAUUUAUAUCUUUUAUUG